GUUGCUGCCUUGUCAUUAUUCAGUGUGAUCUCUGUUAUUGUGAAUGUGGUUCUGGCUUUUCUGCUUCUUAGGAAGCAACAGAAAGGUCGUUGCAAAGAUCCUACAAAUCACACAAAUCAGGAUGAAGACACAGAUGCCUUGAACUACGCAGCGAUACAAUUCAGAAACAAGCCGCCUCCCUCCAGAACACCCAGAUCUCCUCCCUCCAGAACACCCAGAGUCCAGGAAAGUCAAGAUAUUUAUUCUCAAGUCAAAGUGCGAUAGAGAAUGGGAAAUUAACUUUAAUUUAUAUAUAUAUAUAUAUAUAUAUAUAUAUAUAUAUAUAUAUAUAUAUAUAUAUAUAUAUAUAUAUAUAUAUAUAUAUGCACUGGAUAUUGGAAUAAAUAA